rnacentral:rRNA from 1 species
UACGUAGGUGGCAAGCGUUGUCCGGAUUUACUGGGCGUAAAGAGCGCGCAGGCGGUCGGAUAAGUCGAAUGUGAAAGCCCCCGGCUCAACUGGGGAGGGUCAUUCGAUACUGUUCGACUCGAAGGCAGGAGAGGGAAGUGGAAUUCCCGGUGUAGUGGUGAAAUUCGUAGAUAUCGGGAGGAACACCAGUGGCGAAGGCGGCGAUCUGGGAAGAUACUGACGCUGAGGUGCGAAAGCGUGGGGAGCAAACAGG